rnacentral:rRNA from 1 species
GAGUUUGAUCGUGGCUCAGGACGAACGCUGGCGGCGUGCUUAACACAUGCAAGUCGAACGGAAAGGCCCUUCGGGGUACUCGAGUGGCGAACGGGUGAGUAACACGUGGGUGAUCUGCCCUGCACUUUGGGAUAAGCCUGGGAAACUGGGUCUAAUACCGGAUAGGACUACGGCCUGCAUGGGUUGUGGUGGAAAGCUUUUGCGGUGUGGGAUGGGCCCGCGGCCUAUCAGCUUGUUGGUGGGGUGAUGGCCUACCAAGGCGACGACGGGUAGCCGGCCUGAGAGGGUGUCCGGCCACACUGGGACUGAGAUACGGCCCAGACUCCUACGGGAGGCAGCAGUGGGGAAUAUUGCACAAUGGGCGCAAGCCUGAUGCAGCGACGCCGCGUGAGGGAUGACGGCCUU